CCGCAUCUCGCCAUCUGUAGGGCUUCUGAAUUCACGGAUUUCCUUGGCAAGUUCCUGAACGUAUUGCAGGAUAUGACUAGAAGUGGCCUAUGAUGGAAGAGACUGGUAAGGGAGGAAGCAGCAGAGUUCUGAAUACCUCAUCAACUGUCGUGUUGAACGCAAUUAUCCCACCAUAUGCACUAACGGGAUCUGCCCUCACAGCUAACCUGUAAGCUUCAAGGAUAUCCUGCCGGGAAGCAACUCCACACGGAUUUGUGUGCUUCACCACUACACAAGUUGGGCUAUCAAACUCCGAGACACAAUUCCAUGCCGC
rnacentral:lncRNA from 1 species